rnacentral:lncRNA from 1 species
AGACCUUGUCACUCAGAUCUACAGCAACACCUCUUUUAUUCGCGGCCGCUCGAAUAGACUCAACACAGAGAGAAACCUCUUCUCUCCUCAUGGACUUGAAGGAGUUGAUUUUGUGGUUGCUGAGCAACUCAAUUGUGCACAUCUUCCGGGUGUCGCGCCAAUACACGCCAUACUCAGAGAAGAUCAAGUUUUUUUGUCCGAAAGAGAUGUGCUUUGAACCUUCAUGUGGUGGCCUGCUAGCAAAAACAAGGUCGUGUGUUUUGAGGAACAGCUCGGCGGCUUCUGGAGAUGAGAUGACAAUGGUAGGCAUAAGGCCUAAGCGCAUGUACAUGAUGUCGCCGUAUUUUCGGGCUAGCCGAUGAAGAUCCUUGUUAGGAAACUCCCCUAGCAAGUGAAGGCUUCCAAAAAUGGGGAACCCUCUUGGACCAGGAGGUAACCUCUUCUUCUUGUUCUUCCACCAUGCUUGCAGGAUAUGAACAAGGGCAAGCAACCCAAUUGAUGCCCAAAUCCAAACCAUUGCAAGCUCCUUGGGGAUGAUCUCAAAUGGUUGAGCUAGGCGAGAGAGGUCUCUCUUCUAUAACUUUUGGAAAAGGUCUUACUUUUGUUUCUGUGUUCCUAUACUUUUCUUCCUUUAAUAAUUAGUUUAGUCUGACAGAUUAAAGUAAAAAACAAAACAUGGAAGAGUUGUAGAUAAGGCUUAAUCCUCUGAAUGGACACAUGUCUCUUGGUGCACAAGUAAGACUAUUUUCUUCGUACUUUCAUGUCAGUAAGAGUCGGUGGCAUUUAUUGUUCCACGGCAGUGAGUUAAUUCUUUUCUUUCUUUUUUCUGUACUUGCUGAUCACUCACUCUUUUAGGUCCAAUUGAAACGUCACCACCUCUAAGUUUCGAAGAGUAGGCCAUUGGAGAGCCACUAUAUUAGAAUAAAUCUAGAUCUCCAAUUGAAAUUUUUGUCUUGUUUCGUAUGUUAUCCCACUCCCACCCACUGCUGAGAUAUAGUGAUUUUUAUUUAUAUCUUUUGUGUAGGAUGAAUUUCAACAUCAACGCUUGUUAUAUCUUGAUAAUUUUCUGAAAGGUCAAUAAUGUUACCUCUCCUGUAUGAGCUAACUGUUUGGCUAAUAGCUGACAGGGCAAAGUUGUUGAUGUGUCAAGAUUGUUGCGUUAACUAUGUGUGUUAGUUUGUAUUAGCUAUUAUAAUAGUCAUGUGUAUCUUUCAGUUAGUUACGGAGAGCUAGCUUAAUUAAUAAGUAUAAUAGUCAUGUGUAUCUUUUAGUUAGUUACGGAGAGCUAACUUAAUUAAUAAGCAAAGCCCAAAAUAUAAGGGCUCGUUUGGUAACGUUUUCAGAUAAUGAUUUCGUAUAAUAUUUUCAGGGAAUGAAAACAAGAAAAUGAAUUUGCAUUUUCAGGAAAUGAAAAUGCGUCUGGUAGAUUAAUUAAAAAACAAAAAUAAUGAAAAUGUGUCUGGUAAUACAAUUUGAAAUAAUAAUAUGUGAGUUAUUUUUAUGAAAAAGUUUCUCAUGAGAAUGAAAACAACUUUUUUCUGUUUUCUACAAGUACACAUGAACUUGUUUUCAUUUUAUGAAAACAUUCUCAAUUUUUUCUGUUUUUGGGCCACCGAACAUGUUUUUGCCUCAUUUUUGUUCUCUGAAAAUGAAAACAACCCCUUAAAACGUUACCGAAAGAGCCCUAAAGGUCUCUUGGUACUGUAAUAUUCAACAAUUGAAAAUAGAAAUCUCAUAUACUAUUCUCAUUUUCUCUCUCUGAUUUCUUGAUUCUCCUUCUUCUUCUCAAUUCUUCCUCAAUUGUUAGCAUGGUAUCAGAGCCCUCCGCGGCUCGUACCCUCUGAUCCUGAUGUGCUUCCAUUGUUUUCAGCUCUGAUUUCAUGUUCUCUUUCUUUCGUCUUCUUCAAUUUCACGUCAAUUUCUUCAAUUUCACGCUCAAUUCCUUUCCUGAUCGUUGGAUCUAUUUCUUCGAUUCCAUGCUCAAUUUCUUUCUCAAUUUCACGUCUUCUUCUUCCAUUCCAAAACUCCCAUCUUUCUUCUGUAUUGUUCGACAAUUUCCUCUUCCAAGGUUUCUUUGACAUUCUAUUUUUCUGCAUCAAUGGCAGCUUUGUCUCUCAAAAUUGAAAGAUUGCUAGGAAUGGUCACUCUGCAUCUGAAAGAUGAUAAUUUAUUGAAAUGGCGGUAUCAAAUUGAAUCUAUUCUGGAAGGUUAUGAUCUUUUCGGCCAUUUUGAUGGAUCUAUCAUUGCUCCCCCAAAAUUUGCUAUUUUGGAUGAAGAAAGGGUCACCUUCGAGGUUGCUAUUUUGUGAUGCGCGCCGUAAAUGACCAUUCACGGCGUGCUGCUACAUGCCAUAAAAAGUCGUGCCGUAAAAAGUAUUUUUCUUUUAUGACGUGCAUUCGCUUGCCGCAAGCGUUAAUAAUGCACGCCAUGAUUGAGCUUUUGUAAAAGUUUGGACAACUAUUUACGGCGUGCUCUACACACCAUAAAAGAGUUAUUACGGCAUUCAAUGCAAACCAUAAAAGAGGAUCUUUAUUCCCAUUUAAGGCAUGUUUGGCACGUCGUGUUUGAUUUUUUUUUAAUUUUAAAAAAAAAUUAAUUCCCACCCUACUCUUGUUUCAUAGUAACAAAAUACUUAUAUCUUUUAUUACUCUGGAAAAAAAAAAAACAAUAGUAUUGCAACCAAACUUAAAAAGAAAACUUAUACCAAUCAUAAUCAAUUCCAAAUACAAACUCUUUAGAGUAUAAAAGAAACAUAAAAGUGUUGCCAAACCUACAAUUAACUUGUUCACAAUCACUCCAACCCAUUCACUCAUGAAUAUAAUAACAAAAAUCAAUCUCUAACAUAUCAAACCACAUCUAACCUAUGCUCAAACUGUGCAGCAGGGCUACCAUCAGCUGGUUGUCCAAUUAUCCUGUCAUGUGUUUUGUUGUUGCUUCCAAAUAUCUUGUCAGCAACAGAACCAUAAACUCCAAUGUUUCUGAUAUUAUGAUCAAGUAGGUAGUUGUGUGUGUAAAUUAAGUUUACCUUGACAUUCAACAAUUGAACCACUAACUUAUGUCUUGACGUGAGCUUUUAGAAAACUGUUGUUGCUCCUGCACCACCAGAGAAACUAAUGCAAUUUCAGCUACUGUGUAUUAAACUUUAAACUCAUAAUUAAAGACCCUAAACUCAAUAAAAAUCUACCAAAUUACGUGCAUCCUGAAGCUGAUUAAAUAAACUUUGAAACCAUAAAAAAUUUGACAGAAAAAGUGCUCUAAUUUAUAAGAUAAGGCAAUCCAAAGUAAGUGUUUCAAAACUGAAACUGCAGCCCCUGUUUUGACAUAUUUUGUAGUCAUGCUUACCAAACUCAUGUAUCAAACUUCAACCAAAUUACAAUCCUGGAUAUGUAUAGUUUAAAACCAAGUACUUAUACUUCAAAACUAACCCACAAUCUGUGCAAAAUUAACAGUCAACAUGGGUAACUGAAACUUAACAACUUCUGCCCCAAAAGAGUUAUGAACAAUCUUAAAAACAAGUAUAUAAUCUCACAUGAAUAAUUAACAUAAAUCUUGCAUUGGGUCUGUCAAUUUGUCAAUCCCUUUUUGUAAUAGAUGGUUAUAACUUAUGCUGUAUUAGGAAGAAAGUAAAUCGAACCUCUGGCUAGUCUUCUGAAUAGAAACUUCAGAAGCUCUUCCACUCCAAUACCAUCCCAAUUGGAUAGCUUCCCUUCUAUUUCAAACGCAAAUUAGUUAAUUCAAUGCCUAUACCAAAAGAAGGAGAAAAUUAAUCACAAUCACCACCAUUUCCUAACUAAAGAAACAUAACUAAAUGCAAGUGGAAAUUAAGUAUACUUACAUGUACCAAAGGAACAAAUAUUGGAAAAAAUAGGUGAAGUGGGUGGCUGAGAUUAAGCAGAAAAUGAAAAAUUGAACUAAGCAGAAAAAUAAAUAAAACAAAAUUAAAAAUAAGUGUAUAAGUGUAUGAGGAGCUGACUUUUACCUUUCUCCCACUGUCCUCUCACCUAGCUUUUUCUACAACUUCAACCAAUCACAUGGCAUACCUCUUCUAAAAACAAACCAAAGCACCAUUAGAUUCUUGCAAAAUUUAAAUAAUAAAAAAAUCUAAAUCUAAAUUAAACUUUUGAAAGAAUUUGAAACUUUGUAAUAUCUGCACAUUAAUUGAAAUAAUUGAAAGAAUAUGGAACUUCAUACCCAGUGAGGUUCCAUAAGAUUUAGUAAAACCAACUUGAGAGUGCAGCCGUGAGGUUCCACAAAGCUAAAUUGAAAGAAUGUUUUGAUAAAAUCUGGAGAAUAAAAGAGCGAUAGAGAGAGGUAGGGUUACCUUGAGAUUGCAGUCGUGAAAGGGUUUAGGAACCAAAAGGAUUUCUAGAUGAGAAAGAAUGAUAGAUGGUUUGGAGUUAGAGAGAAUCGCAGGGAUUUGGGGUCAGAUAGAGCCAGAGAGGGUUUUUGGUUAGAGAGAGAGAGAGAGAGAGAGAGAGAGAUUAAAAUUUGGGGAAGAAGAAAAGAAUGCUACACGAAAAAAAUUUGAGGGAGAGUAUUCUGAAAUAAGAAAAUUCUAAGGAGGGAAAAGGAAGUGUUUUCGAGGGCAACAAAAAUUAAAUGUGGGGCGUUUCAUGGCGCGCAUGUUUUGCAUGCCAUUAAUGUAGUCUUCUUUUUAUGGCGUGCAUAUUUUGCACACCAUUAAUACCUAAAUAUUAUGCCACGCAUUAAAAGCACGCUGUAACAAAGGGAGGGGAAAUCUCAUUUACAGUGCGAGAAAAUUGCACGCCAUAAAAAGUAAUUUUUUACAGCGCACAAACUAUGCACGCAGUAAAUAGCACGCCGUAAGUACCCAAUUUUCUUGUAGUGUAAGGAGUGGCUUCGGGCUGAUAAAGUGUUAUUGAGCUAUCAGAUUGCAACACUUUUGGACAACAUGAUUGAAUAUGUUAUCAGUAGUAAAACUGCUUGUGAUGCUUGGUUGAGCCUCUCCAAUCGCUAUGCCACCAUGUCACGUGCUCGGAUCAAUCAUCUCCAAACUGAGUUGCAGAUGACUUAGAAAGGUGGUGAUUCAAUCGAUAAAUUUCUUCUGCGUCUCAAACAUAUCAAGGAUCAGCUGUUCAUUGCUUGAGUUUCGAUUUCGGAUGAUGGUCUCAUCAUCGUAGCCCUCAAUGGAUUACCUUCCAAGUACGAUAUGAUCAAGACAGUUCUUAUUGUUUGAGAUAUCGAGAUACUUCCAUUUCGUUCAAGGAGUUUCACACUCAGGUUUUAAUUACUGAACAAUUUGCUGAAUCGUGCAUUUUAACUUAUCAUACUCCUAUGGUGGCCAUGAUUGGUCAUACUUCUUCUGGCUCUUGCAAUACAGGCGCUGGUUACUUCCAACUUGACUGUUCCUGUAUCUCCUUCUAGUUUUCAUGCCAAUGCUCGGCGCUCUGGUUCUACGUCUAAUUCUUUUGGGAGAGGAAGGUUUUCUGGUAAUUGAUCUUUUCCUUCUCGUGGAGCUUUCAAGGCUCCAUACCCUCUCAUAGCCACCCAAGCUAAAUAGAAUUUAUCUAUUGAACCUAGUCAGUUUGUGAUUACAAUGCAAUUUGAUUUUUUCUCUAUUACAAUACUCUAUGUCGGGUUAUUGGGAUAUGGUUAACUCGUGUCAAGUUUAGGUUAUAUGAUUCUCUUGGAUGUAAUUGCAAACAUUCAUACUUUGGCCGAAGAUUUAACGAAUCAUAUCUUUAGAUUAUUCUCUCUUCUUACUAAGAGUAGAGAUUCCCUGUCAUACAUUCACAUACCUCUAUGUAUAUGCUGAGUAUCAUGAGGAACACCUUUAAGUCACAUCCCUUUGAUACGACUAUAUGGUGCUCUCAAAGACAAACAACUCAUACACAAGACAACCGUGAUGUCUCAAAUCCAAGGACUAAUUUGCUUUAUCAUAACUUUAGAAUUCUUUGGUUGACACUUGUGAGUAAGACUUCCAUACAAGAAUUUUUAAGUUGAUCGCCUUUAGUGAACUCUGAAUUGAGCAGACUAGUCAUCCUCCGAAUUGAGCAGACAUAAUAUGUACCAGUCUUCACGGAUUACCAUUAUCCAAUUGGUGAACCUAUGACCAUGAGUAGUUUAGGAUUCAAUAUUUCUAUGAUGGAAAGGUCUAGUGAAUCUAACUUCUUUAGACUGCUUUCCAUUCAUAUCUUUAUCUAUGUAUAUUACGUAUCUUAGAGUAACAUUUAUGCCCCCUUUGAUUAUAUUAAUUAUAUUAAUUAUAUUCUAUUCUUAGAAUAUUCUAUUUUUAUAUUGGCUUCUAGGGCAUAUAUCUAAUAGUGGAUAGGGCAUUAAUUAACAUCUGACCAAAUACUCAACUUAACGGAAGGCUUAAAUUGAUCAUGAUUUGAAAACCAUGAGUGUAUCUAAGAGGAGAGAAGUUUCUCUAUACUCUUCUCUGUAUAAUUUGUUUCGUUGUGUUUAAUGAACGAGGAUGCAUGGAAGAUCCAAACACCAACAAUUGUAUGUGGGCUUUUCAAAUCGCCCAUAUUUUUUGUAGGAAAAUCACAAGCUUCUUGAUCUACAACCAUUCAUAAAGUAUCCUAAGGCACCAUUUCAAAUGAAGCAUCAGAAUUGAAUCGUACAUGCCCGCAUGCAAUAGCUAGCACAGACCUCAGCUGGUCCUAUUCAUUAAUUCAAUUCUCUUCUGGAAAGUUGUCUAUAAAGACAUUCAGCGAUACAGUAUACAUAGCAUUUUUGUCUCUCUCUCUUUCCUUUUCUAGCUAUCUUUCUUCUGCCUUUGUCUAUUUCGUUUUUGCAUCUCAUAAUUUUCUCUUUAGAAUAUACCACUUCUAGAAAACCUCAAAAUUGGCCACAUAUCAAUUCGUGGCCCAUACUAACAAAAGCGACUGUUCUUUUGUGGCCAAAGUGAGUGAGCCACUGAUAAAUCACGGAUCAUGUCAUUGUGUUCCUUACAUGGUUUCUUUUACCACCGGAAGAGAGGAAGCUCGAUUUGAUAGACUAAAGAAAAAAAAAGAAAAAAAAAAGGGUAAACACAUGAAGAGUCGUAGAUAAAUCACAACAUGCUUUCCUUCUUGAAUUUCCCUCUUAGGGUUUUACUUGUACAUAUAAGUUUUAUCUUUCUCUGUAACUAUUUUUAUACAAAUAACCGAAAAUAUCUUGUGAAGUGUAUGGGAGGAUAGCCGAAAAUAUCUUGUAACUAUUUUUAUACAAAUAACAAUACAAUUCGUAUUCUUUUCAGGUCUGAAUUUGAAACCUUCUUCUUUUACAAAAGUUAUCCCAACUACUGAGAUAUCGGAGAUUGAGACGAUAAUUUUAUUCCUCCUCUUCUAUUUGUUCACGUUUGUUGAGUAAAGUUGCCCGUUCCCCGGAAAAAUGGGCCAAAUGAACUUAUUUUUUCAAACAAACGGGAUAUUUAUUCAUGCGAACGCAAGGAGUGCGUUCGUAGAGUAAAGUUGCCCGUUCCUCAGGAAAAUGGACCCCACUAACUUUCUUUUUCAAACAAACGCACUAUUUUUUCACGCGAACGCAAGGGUUGCGUUCGUUGAGUAUGUUGCAUUCAUUUGAUAAAGUUAAAUGUUGGUAUAUUCGGUAAGAAAAAAUAAGAGUUCUUGAGAAAGAAGAAGACAUGAUUUUUUAUUUUUUAUGUUGUUUUGUUUUGUUUUGUGUCGAAGAAAUUAUUAUUAUUAUUUUUUAAAGAAAAAGUGUAUGGGUGUGAUAUAUACUAUUGUUAAUUUAAUUGGAUCUUUCCCCUUAUAUUUUUCACGUGCUUCUUUUUUAAAACUAUUUAAAAUUUUGUUCUUAAAAUUUUUCACGUAAGCCUUGUACCAAGGGAUAUGCACUAGAAACCAACUCCACUAAAUAAAUUUUUGUGUCAAUUUGUUGCACGUUGGAGUAUAUAUACAGUUGUUAUAAUAUUAAUAUAAAUUAUGUAAAAUAAAAAAAUUUAGGUGAUCCUCAAAAAUCAGGGGCCCUGUGCAUUGGGGCCACUUGCACUAUUUCAAGGCUGCCCUUUCUUACUAGUUGGGUUAAUCUUAACUAUCUCAUAUAUGGAAAGAUAGUAGGGAGCUCAAGAGAGACCUAUGUGCACUAUGUUCUAACAUGGCUUACAAAAUGCUCGGGUUACGUGACUUGGUAUGACUAUUGUAUGAAUCUAGAUGGCUGUUCCUCAUUGUUUGACUCAUUGGAGCUCUUCAUUUAUGUAGAUGGACACUUAUCUAAAUUGUAAUCCAAUGUUAAAACAAACUAUGGAUUUAUGCAUAGUUUAUUCAUUCUAAUCAACAUUUUAUUUUCAAACUUUUCAUUAACACGCAUUACAUACCACUUAUAUUUCAUCAUAUGUAUAUCUUAUUAUUAGUAAAUUUUGAGUUUUAUUUGUUCAAUACAUUCAUUGAUAAUGUACAUAACAUUUAUGAAAGUUUUAUACCAAAAUUAUGUAUUUCAAUGCCUAUAUCUGUCUUCUUCUUUUUUCGAUAACUAAGACGAUAACAAUAUAUCCCCCAAAAUAUCCGUAAAUUGGAGGCCCGAUAUUAUUUGCAUGGCUGAUAUUUUAAUCCUUGGCCUUACCUCUGUGAGGUGAAGAAAUUGGAUUAAGGUCUCGAGUAAAUAGCUUAGAUUUACAGUAUGGCUCUCAAUUGCAAUGUUAAACCCUACAUUAGUUAUAUCCAUUUUAUUUUUUUUGGUCUAAAUAUAAUAUAGAUAGUCUAAUUAUUCUUUUCUAUGGGUAUCUAUACAUUAUUGUAUAAUAUUUUAAUUUAUUUUAGUAAAAUAUAAUAUUUUAAUGAGUAUAUAGUAUAUGUAACAAUUAAAAAAGAGAACCAGUUUUUUUUGCCAAGAAAAAUGAAGAACCAAUUAAUCGGUCACUUAUUUUGAGCGAUAAGAUUAUUAGUGAUACUUAUGGAUGGUAUGUUGAUAUUUAAGGGGUUUUUUUAAUUAAUUUAAAUUAUAUGCUUAUUAGGCUUCAAGGUCUCAGUUAUGAAGUGUAAUAGCGAUUUCUUAUACUUAUUCAACUUUAGGAUGUAAGUUACAAAUUCAAUUGCGAUAUGAGUAAUGUGUAAUUGAACGUAAUUUGUGUCGUUAGCAUUUGUAUUGACAAUCAUGCAAUUUCCAAAUAGUGGAAGGAAUUUCAAAGAGACUACGCCUUUGUCGAUGUUUCAGUUGUUAAUGCAUGUCUUAAAAUUGUUGUGCAAUUGCACAUCCAUUGUAGAUAAUUGCAUAUAAAUUUUUAAAACAUACUAUGUACUUACAUGUAAUUACUCAUAAUAAUUGGAUAAUUGUAAAAAGACCAUGCAAUUGCACGUACCAUGACGCAAAAACGCAAAAAUAGCUAACCCAUCCCCUCCUUCCCUUCCCGACACCUCUCUCCCUCCCCCAUUCCCUCAGCUCCCUCCCUCUCUCUCUCUCUCUCUCUCUCUUCCCGUCUAAAAGAAACACAAACAUCAAAAAUCAAUCAAACCAAGACAUCAAGAAUCAAACACAGCUCCAUCAAACCCGAACAUGAAAAAUCAAUUAAACCCAAAAAUCAAUCAAACCCAUCCCAGCUUCUCCAUUUUUCACAUAUUUCGCAGGAGAAGGAAGUUUUCAUCAGUUCAUGACUGCAACUUUGUGUGCAUCUGCUCCAUUUGGAUUUAGUAGAAGGGCAGCAACUAGAGAUUUAGUACAAGCCAUAAUAAAUAAUAGUUGAAGUUUAAUGAAUCAAAGGUGAAUCAGAUUUGGGGAAAUAGAAGAAAUCAAAUAAAUUUGGGAUUUCUAAGAAGAGGUUCUCAAGAUUUAAGCAUGUGAAUAAGAGAAAUCAGUCAUGAUACUAUGUUAGAAUUGAGCCAAACAGAAAGAAAAUGAACUAGAGAGAAGGGUAGGUGAGGUAUUAGGAAGAAGAAGAAGGGGAAGGAGUGUCGUGAAGGAGGCGCGUCAAUUUUUCCCCUUGCUUUUACCUGUUAACCAACACAACCGUUUUCCUUUGUUUUAAAAACACCCCCAUGUGAAUGGCUGUGCCGGUACAGCUGAUGUACCACAGAAGGACUCUUGAAAUUCUAGUGCCUCGUGCGUAGAAAUCAAUCCAGGCCUUGUAAAUGCUUACGUCACAGGUCGAGAUGUGAGUGUGACUGCCAUCCAUUAUCUAUAAAAAAAAAAUUUCUGGAAGAAGUAUGGAAAUUACAACAUUGUUAUGUCUAUACAUAAAUCAGAUUGAAAUUGCUUUGAAGUUAUGCCUAUAAAUAACAAAGCUAAUUUCAAAAGAAUAGCUGUAUGAUUGUAGUUGUUCAUAAACCAGAUUGAAAUUGCUUUGAAGUCGGCUAUAAAGAAGCCCAAACCCAGCACAGUGAAGCUCCCAUUUGGACUAUGUGGGUGUCAAGAAGAGAAAACUAAUGGGAGAGAGGUGGGCGAUAUUGAGGAGGACAUUGGUCAGCAAAAUUAUAGUAACAAGUUGACCAUGGACCCUUUAGAGAGAGAGAGAGAGAGAUGGGUGGUGGCUGGGUGGUGGCUGGGAAUGUGGAGGAUAGGUUGAGCUGGGCAGGGAUCUUUUCAGUUUUUAUAAUUUUUUAUAAUUGUUCAAAUAUUGAGUUUUUAAUAAUUUAUGUUUUAAAAAUAAAAAUAAUAAGUCAUGUGCAAAAUAUUUGACUUCUUGCGCAGAAAAUGGAUGAAAUUUGAAAAUUUUGUUGAUAAAAGUUAAAUUGGUUGUUUUAAUGAGUUCGAUGUUAAAUUUAGUGAUUUAUUAGUUUUGGAAGUUAGAUUCGAUUAGAGUUACAGUUCGGAGGAUAAAACAGCUACAAAUUCAAGCUAACUUUAUGAGAAACAGAAAGAGGAAAAUUGCAAAACCAAAUACAAAAAAGUUGAUUAUGUCCCAGAUUGACUAAUAUAUGCUACCAUGUUUGCUUCUCAUUAUCUCUAAUAUUGUGAUUGCAUAAACCAUGCUUCUGUUGACAAGUUCACGUGAGGAGAGGAAACUCGAGUAAGACAAGUUUCUUGGCUUAUUCAUGUCAGCAAGACUUGAGUCGCUGGCUAAAUUAAACGGCACUGACUGAGUUAUCAGCUCUUAUCUUGUUCAGCAGAACUUCUCUAAUUUGGUGGGCCAUUGGAGCCAACCAAAUUAGAUUUGACCAUCUUGUCUUGUGUCUGUAUCUCCAGUUGAAAGUUUUCUGUUUUUAAUUUGUUUUUACAAAUGAAAACAAAGAACAUGAAAAUUGAAAGAACGGACCCUCAAAUUUAACAGGUCGUGUUGUGCAGCCCCUCUCACUUUAAGUGAUCAACACAAUUUUAUUCAAUUUAUUUAUUUUUUAUCUUUAUUUUCCUCAGGUGAAGAAAACAAAUGUAUGAAGCUACAAGAGUGGUACAUGCACCUUAUGCUGAUUUCCGAAGGCGAUAGGAAGGGAUAGCGAGUAGGUGCUUGGCCCUUGGAACCGUAAAGCCAAACUCCUCAGUCAUGUCCAACUCAUCUGGCAACAUGUUAUUUGGAAGUUCCCAAUCAAAACAAUGCACAAGUUGUGCCAGCACUAACUGGACCACAGUAAGGCCUAGCUGAAUUCCAGGGCAACGUCUUCGGCCAGAGCCGAAUGGGAUAAGCUGAAAGUGAUUUCCUCUAACAUCAACGCUGCUACCCUCAAAUCUUUCUGGUAUGAACUUCUCUGGAUCUGUCCAAGCAUUCGGGUCUCUCCCGAUUGCCCACACGUUUAUGAGGACCCGAGAAUUUUUGGGUAUGUGGUAUCCAUUGACAGUGCAAUCUUCAAUGGAUGCAUGAGGAACCAGUAAUGGUGCUACUGGAUGUAGCCUGAAGGUUUCCUUCACUACCAUGUUCAAGUAGUCCAAUUUCUCCAAGUCUGAUUCCUCCACCAUUUUAUCCAAUCCAACAACAUUUUCUAGCUCUUUUUGGACUUUCUUCAUCGCUUUCGGAUGCCUCAUGAGUUCGGAGAGUGCCCACUCAAUCGUUGUCGAUGAUGUGUCCAUGGAGGCCACCAGCAUGUCCUGCGAAGAAAUUCGCCAUAUUUUACUUGAAGUAGCGUAGCACACAUGACAUAGAUGAUAAAUUACAUAAGGGAUUUUCAUGUUAAAUAUAUAUUUGAAAGUAAUGUUCCUCCUAAAUAAUAAUUCAGAUUCACAAUCUUAGACAAUGACAUGUCCUUUUACUUUGAGCAAUGCAAAAAUAAAAGGACAAAUAAUUUUUAAAAAAAUGAUGCUAGGACAGUAUAUGCAUACUCACCAACAUUAUAGCCUUGAUAUGGGGGCGUUCGAUUCGGUAUUCAGAUUCUUCGGACCCCAUGAAGCCCACCAUAACAUCAACAAAGUCCUUAGUUCUUUCUCCAUCGUUAGGUUGCAGAUGCUCCUCAAUGCUCUUCUCAAACAAGUUAUCAAAUGCCUUGUUGACAGACUUCAUGCGUUUUGUGAACCCUUGGAGGUCAAGUGGAGCAAUAAAAGGAAUGUAAUCACCCAAGUUAGGAGCAGAUGCCAAUUGGAUACCCUCUCUGACCACAGACUUGAAACCCCUCUCAUCAAACUCCUCAUCCCUGUACUUCUUCCCAAGCACCAUCCGGCAGCUCAUGUCCACGCUGAGGGACGAGACCUUGUCACUCAGAUCAACAGCAACACCUAUAUUAUUCGCGGCCGCUCGAAUAGACUCAACACAGAGAGAAACCUCUUCUCUCCUCAUGGACUUGAAGGAGUUGAUUUUGUGGUUGCUGAGCAACUCAAUUGUGCACAUCUUCCGGGUGUCGCGCCAAUACACGCCAUACUCAGAGAAGCUCAAGUUCUUUUGUCCGAAAGAGAUGUGCUUUGAACCUUCAUGUGGUGGCCUGCUAGCAAACACAAGGUCGUGUGUUUUGAGGAACAGCUCGGCGGCUUCUGGAGAUGAGAUGACAAUGGUAGACAUAAGGCCUAAGCGCAUGUACAUGAUGUCGCCGUAUUUUC